rnacentral:sRNA from 1 species
AAUAAACCGUGUUAGGGAUUGAAACGGCAUCCUUUUUAUUUGAAAUUGAUAAACUCUUUAGCAUGAAAAAUGAUUUUAUCAAUGAAAAAUGAUGCGGAAAGCAAUUCAACUUAAAAAGAUAUAGUGCAAAGCCCGACCUUUU